AUAAUGGAUAUUCCUUUUGAAUUUUAAUUUAGAACUAAUUAGCUGUUUUGUUUUGUUUUGUUUUUUCAUGUUUGUAUUUAGAAUGCAAGGAUUGGCUUUGGCCUUUGGAAUAGAUUUUGUCACUGAGUUUCAGGAAGUCAAAGACCUCUCUGAACCUCAGAAAAAGAGGGCGCAUGAGCACAACCACUGCAAAAAACGAAAUUGUGAUUGUAAAAUUCAGUGGCAUAGAGAAUGACAAUAGGCUGGAAUAUCUCCAGAAUGCUAAAAAGCCCUCUGACAGUUGUGGAGAUGAGAAGGCGAUGAGAUUCAUCCCACAGAAAUCAAAUAUAAAAAUAUUGAAACGUUAGGGAUGUGGAAACAAAUCACCCUGAGAGGGGAGGAAGGGCAGCACUCGUUGUUCUGGGUGGCUGUUCCACUGGCUGACACGUGGCAUGCACUUUGCAGUACUUCAGAAAGACAUUGGCAUGGGGUCAUCUGUUGAAAUAUUAACAGAAUUUGUCAGCAGUGUUUCCAGUAGUGAAACUUGGCUUUUUUUUGUUCCUUUCAUUCACUUGUGGCAGCAUUAUCUCUGCUUGUAGCCAGUUCUUUCCUUCCUGUAGCAACAGCGCUGUGUCUGCAGGAAGGAGCAGGGCUGGGAAGAUGGAGACGGCGGUGUCCAUGGGCAUACUGCAUUUCUCUUAGCUUCAAAGAGGCAAAGUGGGGAGUAAAUCCUUCACAGCACUGAAACAGUUAUCAGAGUAAUCCUAUGGAGAGUCUGCCAUCGUUACAGAUCCCCUUUGGUCCUAACCUUUGAAGAAUAGAUGGAGGUGCUGAGUAGAGACUGAAAAUCUUGAUUCAGUUCCCAGUGCCACCAAAGGCUCUGUGAUUUAUGGGGCAAAAAAUCUCAGCCUUUCUCGAUUCAGUUCCCCAUGCACAACCACACAGAACUCUUUGGUGUAGGAGUGACCUCCUGAGAUGUUAUUUGUUUAUCUCAAUGCCCCUUGAUUGAGUCCCUAGACGGCAGCAGUGUGAAAUGAGCUGACCCGCUCCUUUCUCAGGCAGCUUGCUCCCAAACAGCACAAACACUGUGCUGAGUGUCCUUGCUCUCAAGUCGUUUUGAACAUUUUACUUUUUAUCAAAGGAUGUUUUUUCUUUGAGAUGAAGCCAUCUGCUCAAUAUUUAAUAGUAUUUUAUAAUCCCCUGUUUUCUCCCUAGAAAAAGCCCUUAAUAUGAGUCAUAAUACAAACAUAAUUUGUAAAUGAAAUGUAGGCCUGGAUCAAUACCCUUCUCCUUGCUGCAGGGUAGCAUAAUCACUGAAAGAUGUUCUCCUAAUUGUUAUGAGGACAGGGAAUUGUUUCAUUUGUGUAAGUGAAAUGUGUUGUUAAGUUGUCUGAUGAUGGGAGUUGACUCUGAGGUUUCUGUACUUGUGGCAAAAUGUCAAUAUUCCUAAAGCAUCUUGCAGUCAGCAGUUUCAGAGAACAGGUUAUUUGCAAAAUAGCCUCCCCAUUAUAAUCCAGUGACAGAUCUGCUCCCUAGGUUCCAGCACUGGCCUUUCCAAAUCCAAAGUUAAAUGGAUUCUGCUCCAAGAGCUGAAUUGUCACUGAAACUGCUGUGCUUCAGACAGAUUUGCUGUUACUGAGAAAAUAGGGCUCCUAUAUCUUUCUACUGAAUAAUUUCUCAGGGACAUGUCUUCAGUGCAUGGUAGUACAGGAAUAUUGCAGUCUUGUAACUUUUGGAUAAGCUAAUAGACGUGCAAUCUUAGUUAGUGGAAACCUAGAUGCUCACAAACUUACUUGGGCAGAACAGUAAUUUGCUGUAAAAACAGCCACCAAAAUUCAAUAGGAGAGUGUAUGCAGGUAUUGUUUAGUACGUGUAAAUGUAUUCAAACUUCAUUAGCUAAUACCAGUGCCUUCAGCAAAGUUACUUCUUGAUUUCUACUACAGAAAAACUUAAGCUCUGUUCUGGUGGGCACUAGGAUUUUUCUCUGUGUAAUAAAUGAAAAUUACAUUUAAGCAUACACUCUUACCCCAUCAUCAUGAAGUCCUGCAUGUUGAAGGGAUGCUAUUCACAAUCACUGAAUUCUCCAAGUAUUCAUACUUGCAGUGAGCCCCUCGGUACGUACAGAGCCCCACUUGUCCUCUUUGUGAACUGUUGGUCAAUUUUUGCCUUGGAUCAUUUCUGAUAGGCAAGAAAACCAAGUAGGUAUGUUCCAUAGGAAAACCACAUUUGCUUAGACUGUGCUUCCCAGUUCCCAUUUCCCCCAGCACAGUGGAGAUCAUGUGUUCUUAUGCUCUCACCAGCUUACUUUUGAUCUUCCAUAAUUGCUUUUUCAGGGGCAGUGACAAGCACUUACCUCAGCAGGUGAAGAUUACCCUUUCCUCUGUUGUUUCCCUUACACUCAACACAGAAGCAGCUAACCUGAGUUGCUUCCCUAUAGCAUCACCAUUAUACUGCACAACAAAGAUGUCAUGUUAAAACGUUAUCACAAGAACCAUCCUUGCCAUAUGUGGCCUGGUCUCUUGUAGCAAAGAGGCUUUUCAGCACGUAUCUGCAGAUCGUCUCCAGCAGGACCUUUCCCUGACCUGCGACAAGCAAGUGUGCAUCUUUCCUAUUGCAUACUGAGACUUGCAGUUGCCUGGUGUGCGAUGCUUCGGGGUCACCUGGGCUUAUGGAGGUCACUCCCCUGGCAUUUUGCUUUCUGAUAAGCAAGGUCACAGCCUUGGACAGCAGCCCCGCAAUUUGUACUUGUGCUGCAUGGACUCAGACCUGUGUGUGUACUGAGCUCUCACCCAGAUAAAAUAGCCUGUGAUGAAUUCCACUGUAAGAGCAGUAAAAAGAAGCGGUGUGAAUAGGGUUUGGAGGAGCAGGGGAAGUACAUCUAGAGAGCACUUGAAACAGCCUGUUAAGAAAUUGCAGUGUAAUGCAUAGCUCCUUGUCCUCAUCCACAAAGAGAACCCUGCAGGCAAAAGGCACCUAAGCAGGUCAGGUGCCAAAGGCUGCUCUGCUCUCUGUAUUCAAUUAGCCAGAUGCAGCAAAAUAAUGGACUCUAUUCAUUGAGUGCAAGUCUCAUCGCUUGUUUGACUUGAUGUGAUAGAAUCACCAUAGAUAAAGGUGCAAAUAGUACCUCAUUGUACCAAAUAAUAUGCUACUAAUGAAGGCAAUGUUAGUCAUAUAAACAUUCUAUAAACCCACUGUAGCAGUGAUGGAGCACCUGGUGGGAAGGCAGAGCCAGCCCAGGGGUGCUCAGGUGCAUGCAAUGCAAUGCACUGAGUGAUGGAAGGGUGGAACCAGCAUCCCCCUCUUCCCAGCCCUCAUUUAAGGGCUGGCAGUGAAGGCAAAAGGAUAUCACUGGAAAUCCCUGUGUACCUGAAGCUUUCUGAAGGUAAGCAGCUUCUUUCCUUUAUUUCUGUGCCCACAGCUGUUGCAUUGUUGCAUUUAAGCAAACCUUCACUUGCUGCAGUCUAGGACCUUGCUGGCCUGCUGUCAUUGCUGUGCUUCCCAUUGUGUUACAGUAGAUUUUACUUAUUCACUAGGUCACACUCACACUUGUUUGAACUGUCUCUUACUUGGAACUAGAUGAUCUUUAAGGUCCCUUCCAACUGAAGCUGUUUUAUGAUUCUGUUUCCUGGGAUUUAGUUCCUCUGCCAUAACCUCAGAGACAAGCUGUAUGGGUAUAGUCCUGCACUAGUUCUCAUUCAGAAAAAGCAGAACGACUCAGGAUUUUUGCAGCCCAGUAAGUUGAAGCAGUGGUAGUUCUCACCACCCAGCACUUGCCUGACCUUCGUAAAUGUAAAUGGAGGAAUUUCACCAACUACUGCAUAGCAAAUGUUAUUGUGAUUUAUUUUUUUUUUUUUCUUCCAAAAUACUUGUACAAGAGAAUCAAAAAUAUUUUGUAGGGAAAAGUAGGAAAGCUUAGGAUGCAGCCUGAACAAGAAGUUGGCACCGUGCUCUGUCUGAGACCUGACCCAAGGAAGCUGUUGUAGGUAAAGGUGCUUUAUCGUGUUACUCAAUGUUUUUGUUAGGAAUGAGGAUUUUCAUGUUACUUUCAGACAGAGAACUACAUCAACUAUGUCUGGCUGCCAUCAUUUUUGCCUUCUAAGGGAAGCGAUCAAGUUUUGUCUAACCUGUAGGGGUGGAAAGAAACAACAUUAUUUAACACCUCAACAUAUCAAUUUCCUGUUUAUUUUGAUGGGCUGACUAUGAUUUACAGGGUUUCAUUAUGAGACUCAAUUAAAUAUAGAAUUUGUAAUAUUCAUGCAAUUUCUAUGCCAAAUAUACACAGUGCUGAUACAGCAGGGAUCUCAAAAUAUCAACCACCUGCUUGGGAGGAACAGAAUUACGAAUGCAUCUCCUUAAACAAUAAUUCAUCAUACUCAAAGUCUAAAGUUAAGCUACUCCAGAGCCAACACAGCUGCUUUAUCUUAUCAAAGGGGUACUGCUGACUUACAGUGCCUGUUAUCAUUCUUGUAACUCUUGACUAAGAAUGCAGUCAAGGAUUUGGAGGCCUGGGAAGCAGCGCUGAGUGUGGCAUGAAGGAUCCUGGCUUCUGGAUGGAAACCCAGAAUUGUGAACUGCAUGUCCACACUGCUCAUGCAAUGCACCAGGAAACCAAAUCAGUCAGCUUAGGGAACUUUAGGGAAAACCUUUGCGUACCUCACUGAGAGCUGCAGGGAAAUAACCCGUCCCUCUCCUCAAGGAUCUUCUUCCUCAAACCCCUCCACUAAAUAAAGAAGGUUAUAGGAGUGAGACUUCCCUAAGUGAGCUCAGAUGCAGUACCAGCUCACAGGUCACAAUGCACCUUUUUCCCUUGGGAGGGAUGCUCUACUCAGAAGAAUGAAGCUAACUUUAAUCCUCAUGACUUGGUUAUAAGAGGACUUUGAUCUGACAAGAUGUAGAUUUGCAAUUGUUAUUUUUCCAGACAGACUACAGGUAAGACAUGCUGGAUGCUUAGAGGACCUCCUUACAGUGUGGGGAUAUAUGUUCAUAGCAAAAAUGAGAUUUUUGAAUGUGAGUGAGGUUUGGAGGCUGCAGUAGCACUGCAAUAUCAUAGUGGCUUUAAGCCCAUUUUCGCUGCAAGGAGGCAGAAUCCUGCUGUGCUUUCAGACAGGUGUUAGUCUAAUUGGUCCUUUAGAACUUAUAUUUUACAUCUUCCCUUAGCAGCCAGGUUCACUGAUAAAGUAUUCUUCAUUAGGAAGCUUUUCCAGUCUCUAAUUUAAACCUUUACUUCGUGUGGAGCCAGGCACUUUCCUUCCCCCUUUGGUGACCAGCACAGUACCUUGUCCACAAACGUUUUGAGAGUUAGGACUCUGCUACCACAUCAUUUUGAAGCUCCACGCAUUCUCCACUUCCUUAUUCCUUAUAAAAAUGAAAAAUGUUUUCCUUCUUUAUAAUGCCUGCUGCUCUCCUGGAGUUGGGGAUGCCUCAGUCCUUCCUGUCCUUUUCUCACUGACUCAAAUCAUUUCAGGAUGGCUCUGUGAAGUGGCCGUUGGAAGCUCUCGGUCAGCAGUGGGGCUGUCGUGGUGUUAAUGAAUCUUGCUAAACAAUUUAGACAUCCUGUGAUAAAAACCACCAGAGGAAUUUCCACCAGCCAGAGUACAAGCAAUUCUAACACUGCAAAUACAAGCUGGUAAUAUUUGAAGAAAGAAAGAAGGAAAAAAUGCCAGACCCAAGCCUUGCUCACCUGGGGAUCCUGCGUGGGUUGUAAUCCAGCCCUGCUUCGGGACACAACCUUCUGCAUUGCAACCAGCACCAGCACUGAAGAGCAACUCGAGCAGCCUCAGAGGAGAUGACACACAUUGGGCUUCCAUGUCCACAUCCAUGCAGACGUGUUGCCAUCGUUGCCGUGCAGCCAGCAGGGACAGGACGUGGUGUGGCUGACAGCCUUGGGAUGAGGAUAUUCAAUUCUGAGUGACCUGUGAUCUGCUGGGACCUUGUGAGAUGUCGGUCAUGACGUGCUAUCAUUGAAACCUCUGCAAGAAGCUGAUGCUUCAGGAAUCCUAAGCAUCACCAGUCGAAACAAAUUUUGAACUUGCAAGCUGGGAAGGGAGAAAGCAGUUUCCUUUUGAUCUUACUCCAGGCAGGGAGCAAGGAUGCUGGACCAUUUUAAUUCAAAAGAGGAAAGACACAGGCAGUCCUAUUGUCAGAGCCUUCAUUCAAGUCCAUUGAAGGACUGGAAGCAUGACCAAAGACAAAAGGAUGUGAGAUAUUUCUGAAGAGCCCUGAAGUGAUGUGUGCCACGUGUGUGAAUUGCUCCACACACCCAACCCAGCACCACGUGCCACCUGACUGCCUCAUGCUCGCAGAAGACAGAAAUCAGAACAGCUUUUUCCAACCCAAACCUCUCUCUGGGUUUUCUCUCCUGACUUCUGAGUGUGAAGGCAUACCGCUCUCAAAAGGCAUUCUGAAACUUCCAGCCAUCCCUUGUAUCACACAUCUUUUGCUUUCUGCUUUUAUGACCAGCCCGUAUGACCCAUGGGACCCCGUGCUUCUGGGUGAAAUCAGCCACCCCAUCAGAAAGCCAUCGUGCAGAGACAGUUACUUCUCUGCCAUCACUAUUCACCCCAUAUCCUGCUUUCUGUUGGAAGAAACGUUGGCCCGGUUGUCUGGCUUCUAAUUAAGAACACUUCAUUAUAUCUCAGGGGACUGGGAAACCUCAUAUUUAUGUAGCACACCUAUGGCUGCAGGAAAAAAACAUCUUUUUUCGAGUCAUGGGUUUUGUUCCAUGACAUGGCAGUUAGUUAUCUGCAGCAACGUCAGGUAACAGCACCACCUUCUGCCAACAUGAUACCAUCUCCUUAGAAAACCAACAGAUUCAUUUUCUCUCUGUGAUUUCCAUGGCUUUCUCAAACAUUUCUGACGCAGAACAACAACGCCCUAAAGGCUGUUUUGAAACACCCCAAGCUGCCUUGAACAGUGAUGAAAUUACCAACAUGUAGCCAACUUUAGAGGAGCACUGAAUGCCCUGAGCUGGGCAACACAACUCUUGCUCCUGGGAGGACAGCUGAGCACACCCAUCUGAGUCUUCAUGGAAAACUGCCUUCUUCUCCUCCAUCUUUCACAUAGGUCCCCAGAGCUGCACACAAGGCUACGUCCUAGAUCUUUAGAUGACAUAAGCUGCCUGAAAAUAAUCAUCUUUCUUACUUUUUUCCUCUAGGUUCUCUUUGUCCUUAGCAGACAACCCGGGGCUGCCCUGCCUUCAGCUUCAGACAGCCAAAAUUUAGGCAGUUGGCUUUCAGAGAGAUGAACAUUACACAGUAUAAGUAUUCACUUUUAAGAGCAAAACUGUCUUUACCUCCACAAACGCCCUAUUUUCCUGACAAAUUCUUCCUUCCAUGUGGGACCGAGGUGCACACAGAUCCAAGGAACCCAGGAGAAAUGGUGUCAGUGGACACAUAGGUGAAGAAUAAGGUGCUGAUGAGCCAAUCAAUAAACCAGUAAUUAGCUCUGA